rnacentral:rRNA from 1 species
UACGAAGGGGGCUAGCGUUGCUCGGAAUUACUGGGCGUAAAGGGAGCGUAGGCGGCUAGUUUAGUCAGAGGUGAAAGCCCAGGGCUCAACCUUGGAAUUGCCUUUGAUACUGGCUAUCUUGAGUACGGAAGAGGUAUGUGGAACUCCGAGUGUAGAGGUGAAAUUCGUAGAUAUCUGGAAGAACACCAGUGGCGAAGGCGGUCAACUGGCCCAUAACUGACGCUCAGGCACGAAAGCGUGGGGAGCAAACAGG